AUUGAACGCUGGCGGCAGGCCUAACACAUGCAAGUCGAACGGUAACAGGAAGAAGCUUGCUUCUUUGCUGACGAGUGGCGGACGGGUGAGUAAUGUCUGGGAAACUGCCUGAUGGAGGGGGAUAACUACUGGAAACGGUAGCUAAUACCGCAUAACGUCUCAAGACCAAAGAGGGGGACCUUCGGGCCUCUUGCCAUCGGCUGUGCCCAGAUGGGAUUAGCUAGUAGGUGGGGUAACGGCUCACCUAGGCGACGAUCCCUAGCUGGUCUGAGAGGAUGACCAGCCACACUGGAACUGAGACACGGUCCAGACUCCUACGGGAGGCAGCAGUGGGGAAUAUUGCACAAUGGGCGCAAGCCUGAUGCAGCCAUGCCGCGUGUAUGAAGAAGGCCUUCGGGUUGUAAAGUACUUUCAGCGGGGAGGAAGGGAGUAAAGUUAAUACCUUUGCUCAUUGACGUUACCCGCAGAAGAAGCACCGGCUAACUCCGUG
rnacentral:rRNA from 1 species